rnacentral:tRNA from 1 species
AAUAGAGUGCCUGACAAAAAGGAUUAUCGUGAUAGGAUAAAUAAUGUAGUUUUAAAUACCUUUAUUU